rnacentral:RNase_P_RNA from 1 species
UGGGCGGACCUGACGAUCGCCGGGGAAGCGAUUCCUCGGAGGAAAGUCCGGGCUCCACAGAACAUGACGCCGGGUAACCCCCGGGAGCCGAAAGGCUACAGAAAGUGCCACAGAAAAUAUACCGCCUGAUUUCAGGCAAGGGUGAAAUGGUGGGGUAAGGGCCCACCGCGAUUCUGGUAACAGGAUUGGCAGGGAAAACCUCGUCAGGAGCAAGACCAAGCAGCAGGUGGGUUGUUCGUCCGAUACCUGCGGGUAGGUCGCUAGAACGUAACGGUAACGUUGCGUGUAGAUAGAUGAUCGUCCCCGACAGAACCCGGCUUACGGUCCGCCCUUUCA